rnacentral:lncRNA from 1 species
AUCUCUCUCUCUCUCUCUCUCUCUCUCUCUCUCUCUCUCUCUCUCUCCAUUUUAGACAAGAAUGGAAUGGAAGAAACCCAUUGCAUGCUUAACUCCAAAAUCCAAACUCGUUUUCUGCAGCAGGAAAAGGUGAAAAUGUACAGGCAAAGCAAAACAUAUGUAAUUGAAUAAUCCAAAAAGUAAAACACAGAAUAUAAUUACACAACAGCGAUCAAUCUUAACAGAAACCCAUAAAAUAUUACAGAAAACUAAGAAAAAAUGAAUGCAGACGAGAUCCAUAACUUGCUGCAAAUCCAAAAGAAAACACAAAUUUGCAUAAUAAUUAAAUCACAAAUUAACACUCAACUAUUCAAAUCCAGCAGCUGUUCAAUAUUUCAAACUAAAGAACCACAGAUCUAUCUAAUAGAGAUCAAUAUUGCAAAAAUAGAAAUUAAUAAUGCAAUGAAAUAAAUGAUGUAAAUAUCAAGAUUUGUACAAGUGAAAAUGGAAAUUAAUCAAGAACUUGUCAUUUAAUAGGAGUAUAACAUAUUCCAGACUGGCUUCAAUUAAUACAAGUAUAUAAAUCAAGUUGUGCAUUAUUAACAUGCGAAAUAAAUUAAACCCAUUAUAAAUGUUUGUCGUCUCAUUUAAAUAGUCAGAUCAGAUCCAUAGUCAUGACAGCCUCAGCAAUACAAAUUGAUAUUGUUUUUCUCGGUGAAAAGAUUUACUACUAUUUUCCUAAAAAUUUGCUGGGUAGAAAACCCUAGUUUAAUUUCCUAGAAUUUACUUGGUUUUCCAAUGCAAAUUAAUUUAAUUUCUUACUUACAGUUUCCCAAUGGAAAAUCCAAGAUUUCUUGUGAAAGGGUGAAAAAUGGUGGGAAAUGGAGGGUGGUUGAAUACAAUGUAAAUUGUGUGGUCCAAGAGACAUACAUAUAUAUGCAUAUGCCAAAAAUUUAUUCAGAAAUUUAUGGUGUCAUUGAAAUUUAGUUGAUGAGAUAAAUUGCGUGCAAUAACUACGAAAUUUAAAAUCAUCAUGAAUUAUGUCAUUGGGUGAAAGUACAGGCUGUGCAAAAGGUUGAGAAAGAAUAACGUAUUUAGUGUAAAUUUUAUGAAACAACAAGGAUUUGUCUUUUUUUAGUAAUUUUCAAAACACAUGAAUCCAUCUAACUAAAAUCAUCGAUUCAUUGCUUACUGAGCCUUUCUAUCACAUAAUUCAAGAUCUGAAAUUACAAUACUCUUAUCCAGCACUACUAACAAAUUCAAAUUUGGAAUUGAGAAAUCACAAUACAUUGUAAAAAGAUAAAUAAAUGUAAAAUCAAGAUCCGAAUACCAAAAUUUAAAACUGCAUCUGCUAUCGCCAAAAAAUUGAUCGAUUGAAAUCGAAGAGGGUCUUAC